GCUCCUUUAGCUCAGUUGGCAGAGCGUCGGUCUCAUAAUCCGGAGGUCGUGAGUUCGAUCCUCACAGGGGAGCA